AGUAUCCUUCUUCUUCUUAUAACACUCGUUAUAGUUCAUAUAUUUUAUGCAUAUCGUUCUUGCCCUGUUCAUGUUGAUAACAUUCUUGAAUAACAACCACCAAUCCAUUGCACCACCCCGUCAAGAAAAUUCGAUAGUUCUUCACGAUGACGUGAUUAAGUUCAAGACUUGAAGCACGAUGUCAUUUUAUACACGAGUCACCUUAUGGCUCGUAAAGAAUAAUAGAAUUCAGCGAGUACAUAUGUCUUGCGACCAGACUUUCUCAUGUGCAUAAACAUCCUGUGUCUGUCACUGUUUCUGGAAUUAAAUUGAUGGUGAGGGAGCAUUUUUAAAAUGUAAGAAACAUUCCGUGUACAUGUAUUGUCCUAGUAGCUUACUUCGAAGUUGGUAAGAGUGGCGAAUAUCGAAAUCUCAAGAGAUGCGUCAUAAUAAAGCUCAUGAUAUGGUAAUAAUAUGCCAAAUUAUAAAAAAUUUAGCAUAUGAUUCAAAUUCUUUUUAUUACUGCCUGAUCAGUUGCAUUUCACGUGAUGAGAGCCUGUCUUUCAAAGACUAUCCACAAGAAACAAGAAGCCGUGGCUGUGACAUGGCAUGGGCUGGACAAAUGAUCUUUUGACAUUAUGAGUGUGGCCACAUUUUUGAUCUGUGACACAGCAUUUGACGGCUCAGGCUCAUUUGAUUUGGGCAGGAAUUUGUGGUUUUCAGUAGAGUCUCGAUCCCACGGAACAUGAAAUCAUGAUAACUUCUUAUAUAAGAUUAUUUCAUUACGUGUGUGGGAGAACGGAACCUUUCAUGCGUAUAAUAAGUUCCAGUAUAUGUAUCUAAAAUCAUGCUAGAUAUGUAAGUGGCAGAUCGAGAAGGGGUUUGAGCAUCUUAAAUAUUAGCAUUAAAUAUUAUUGCGCUAGUAGUAUUUGAGUGAUAGCAGAAGAAAAAGUUCAACUUUGAAGAUAAAAUUUAUUUAUUAAUGGGUGUGCGCCCCCGUGAUAUCAAACCUAGUAAAUAAGAAUAUUAUGCAUCCCUAACAUAUGCACAUACAUCAUUUUAUGUGGAUGCACAGUAUAUAACUGCACAUUUAGAUGCAUGUAUCGUUUCAAUUUUGAAUUUUCGCUUAAUUUGACAAUAUUCUGUAUAUAUUGUAUAUCCAAGUUCGUUUACUGAGUUAAAUUGUGUUUUACGACCGCAUGUCAAUGUCAGCAAAUAAGUAAGCAUAUGCAGAUACUAUUAAUGCAUGCAUAUCGACCAUGAAAAUGCACUUUCUAAAUAUCCAGCGAGGAUUAAUUUAAUAUUAAAAACAUAUUUUAAAAUAUAAAUGCACUUAGUUCUACAAUAUGUACAUAUUUAGUAUAUGUAAUACACAUAGGCGUAACUCUGUUAAUUAAGAAUUUAUAAAAUGCUGCCAAAAAAGCUGUGCAUUUCAAAGAUUAACCUUUUUUAUGCACAUGAAUGGGAGAGGGUAACAGGAUUGUGUGUAUGCAUAUACAUAAAUAUGUAUGUAUAGAGAUUAAUUGGACAGUAAGAGAUUAACGUGCAUACAUUAAUCUAAACUGCGGAGAAAAACAAGGAAGAAUUAGCGUGAUGUUUGCAAGGCUAGAUUUUCAGGCCCUUUUGUAGUUAAACCUCUAACUCAACGUUAAGCCCAUGGGAUGGGCUUAUUCCCCCUCCCCCUCAAGGUGUCAAACGAGCAAAGAUCCGAUAAAAGCUGGUUGGAAAAAGACUCGAAUGUGACAAAGAUGAUUUUAGUGGUUUUGCUCUUGGUCAAUGGAAAUGCGUUUAACCAUUUCAGUUGAUCAGGGAUCAAGCUCAUCUUACUACCAAUAUUAGCCCAAAGUUUAAUUCGCAUAACUAAGGAUAAGCGAACUAUGCAUAUAAAUAUAUAAAUACGUAUGCACGUAUAAUUGCAAAUUAUAAGGAGGCUUCACACCAUGCAAUUUAUUUAUUAAGAUAAAUAUGUAGAUAUAUAGAUACAAUGAGAUGGUGUUUUUUCGUUAAGACUUCACAGAGGAAAACAAGAUCCACUUUCAGCCAGGAUUGAUAAUCUCAAGAUCAUAUGAUGACGAUGGUCACACCUCCAAAACUACAAACCUUUACCCUAACCUCUGUAGUUGCAUUCCAUAUGUGUAUAGACAGUGCAGUAUCUGUAGUGCGAUUGCCGAUGAAGGACAGAUUAUAAUAUUUAUCAAACUUUAACUGCGUAAUCUACAGAAUAAUGAUGCUGUAAGGAUUAAAAGAUUAAAAGUGAGGAUGAGUUCGAAGAUGGGCGUCGGCCUAGUGGGUGACCGGUGGGCCGUGGGAGUCCUAGGUGGUUAGAGUACGUGGGAACAAAAAAAAUGUCGUAGAAAGCUGAAACUUGGUGACAAAAAUGACUUCCAAGAAAAUAUAAUUGCAGAAAUUAUGAACUCGUGGACCCAACACGGUGACCUAAAAUUGUUUCAAAACCGUCAUAACUCUAUGAAUUUGAACGACUCACUGUUGUGCGUGUCUUGUGUAAUCUAUGUAUGUAUUGAGUAUAUGGAUGAGGCAAAGGUCGUGUGCCCCUCGAGACUUCUAAAAUCUAAAGCAAAAUAUUUCAACAAUCUUUUAAUUCGUGAGGUCUUGUUAAUUUUAUAUUUCCAGGACAUUUUGCAAUGAGUUGUCAGAUUUGUAGGAACAGAAUAAGAAUUAAUAAUUUUACAUGUUUAAAUAUUUUAAUAUUCAUAAUCAACACUACGAUUGUAAUAUCAAACAUGUUUUUGUCAAUAAAGUAUGAAUAAAUAAAAUUUAAAAACAUUUGCACUUGUACUUGCAGUAGUAUAACGUGAAAAUAUCUAGGAAUGAAUGAGGUAUACAUGAUAUAGGUAACUUCAGGGUGCAGACGAACCGUAGCAUUUCUCAGCUACAAUUAGUGUAAAUUUAUCUUACUAAUAGUUAUUACAAUUAAAUUGUAAAAUUGUGUGACUGGAUUUAGGUUUCAAAUACAUAACAAUAAGAUUUUUAUUGUACUUGACAAGAUACAAUUUUAGUGCUACACCCACUUACGUAUUUAUGUACAUAAGUAUUCAUCUUACCAUAUCUGUCAACUUUGUAUUGUAAUUAAAACGAUUUUUUUUAUAAAUUUGAGAUUAUGAUGAGAAUUUUUUAACAUUUCGUUGUCGCACAAUAUUAUUAUUUGACUGAUCAAUCCAAUGAUGUGAUGUGAGUACAAUUUACCUAAACUAUUGUUUCACAAAUAAUGCUAUCACAAUAUUUGGAGUCACUAAUAAAUAAAUAAAUA